rnacentral:rRNA from 1 species
GACGGAGGAUGCAAGCGUUAUCCGGAAUGAUUGGGCGUAAAGCGUCCGCAGGUGGCAGUUCAAGUCUGCUGUCAAAGACCGGGGCUUAACUUCGGAAAGGCAGUGGAAACUGAACAGCUAGAGUAUGGUAGGGGCAGAGGGAAUUCCUGGUGUAGCGGUGAAAUGCGUAGAGAUCAGGAAGAACAUCGGUGGCGAAGGCGCUCUGCUGGACCAUAACUGACACUCAGGGACGAAAGCUAGGGGAGCGAAUGGGAUUAG